AACGAACGCUGGCGGCAGGCCUAACGCAUGCAAGUCGAGCGAUCGCAGCAAUGCGGGAGCGGCAGACGGGUGAGUAACACGUGGGAACGUACCCUUCGGUUCGGAAUAACUCAGGGAAACUUGAGCUAAUACCGGAUACGUCCGAGAGGAGAAAGAUUUAUCGCCGAAGAAUCGGCCCGCGUCUGAUUAGCUAGUUGGUGAGGUAAUGGCUCACCAAGGCGACGAUCAGUAGCUGGGCUGAGAGGAUGAUCAGCCACAUUGGGACUGAGACACGGCCCAAACUCCUACGGGAGGCAGCAGUGGGGAAUAUUGGACAAUGGGCGCAAGCCUGAUCCAGCCAUGCCGCGUGAGUGAUGAAGGCCUUAGGGUUGUAAAGCUCUUUUACCUGGGAAGAUAAUGACGGUACCAGGAGAAUAAGCCCCGGCUAACUUCGUGCCAGCCGCCGCGGUAAGAC
rnacentral:rRNA from 1 species